rnacentral:sRNA from 1 species
AAGGACUAUAAAAGCUACUUGGUUAGCCUAUAUAUAUAUUCGAGCAGAAAAUACGUAGGACCGAACAAGACAUCACAGCCAUUAAUUUUGAACACAUGACAUCACUCAAAUGGAAUUAAACGGAGAACGUUUAAAAAUGAAUUUUAAUACAG